rnacentral:rRNA from 1 species
GAUGAACGCUGGCGGCGUGCCUAAUACAUGCAAGUCGAGCGAACGGACGAGAAGCUUGCUUCUCUGAUGUUAGCGGCGGACGGGUGAGUAACACGUGGAUAACCUACCUAUAAGACUGGGAUAACGUCGGGAAACCGGAGCUAAUACCGGAUAAUAUUUUGAACCGCAUGGUUCAAAAGUGAAAGACGGUCUUGCUGUCACUUAUAGAUGGAUCCGCGCUGCAUUAGCUAGUUGGUAAGGUAACGGCUUACCAAGGCAACGAUGCAUAGCCGACCUGAGAGGGUGAUCGGCCACACUGGAACUGAGACACGGUCCAGACUCCUACGGGAGGCAGCAGUAGGGAAUAUUCCGCAAUGGGCGAAAGCCUGACGGAGCAACGCCGCGUGAGUGAUGAAGGUCUUCGGAUCGUAAAACUCUGUUAUUAGGGAAGAACAUAUGUGUAAGUAACUGUGCACAUCUUGACGGUACCUACUCAGAAAGCCACGGCUAACUACGUG